rnacentral:lncRNA from 1 species
CUGCCGGUCUUCCUCUAGCUGAGACUUCCUUGACUGCCGCGGCUAACGCGGUCGACCUUUCGGGGGUGCCGAGCUACCCCACUUCCGCCCCAGAGGUCCGAAACCUCUAAUUUUGUAUUCUUUUUUUUUUCUUUGUUGUAAUUUUUUCUCAUUCUCUUGUAGUUAAGAACUAUUUAAUCAAUGAAAUCGGAUUCUUCUUUUCAGAGGGCUCCUCUUUUUUACUUUGCAUUCUUUUUCUUCUCUUUUGUUUUUCGGCACUGAUUUGUGUUGUGGCGCUCUUGUCUUCCAACGACAGUGUCCCGCCGAAGCUCUUCCCUUGCCACAGGAGAUUUCUCUGAAAUCGAUGGUCCGGGACCUUAGAAGGAAAAUUCAUCACCUGACGAAGAAAUCAAAGAAGCUGGAUGACGAACUUCAC